UAGGGAAUCUUCCACAAUGGACGAAAGGUCUGAUGGAGCAACGCCGCGUGAGUGAAGAAGGGUUUCGGCUCGUAAAACUCUGUUGUUAAAGAAGAACAUAUCUGAGAGUAACUGUUCAGGUAUUGACGGUAUUUAACCAGAAAGCCAACGGCUAACUACGUGCCAA
rnacentral:rRNA from 1 species